rnacentral:rRNA from 1 species
GACGAACGCUGGCGGCGUGCUUAACACAUGCAAGUCGAACGAAAAGAGGGAAAGAGCUUGCUCUUUCCGGAAUUGAGUGGCAAACGGGUGAGUAACACGUAAACAACCUGCCUUCAGGAUGGGGACAACAGACGGAAACGACUGCUAAUACCGAAUAAGUUCCAAGGGCCGCAUGGCCCAUGGAAGAAAAGGUGGCCUCUACCUGUAAGCUAUCGCCUGAAGAGGGGUUUGCGUCUGAUUAGCUGGUUGGAGGGGUAACGGCCCACCAAGGCGACGAUCAGUAGCCGGUCUGAGAGGAUGAACGGCCACACUGGAACUGAGACACGGUCCAGACUCCUACGGGAGGCAGCAGUGGGGAAUCUUCCGCAAUGGGCGAAAGCCUGACGGAGCAACGCCGCGUGAGUGAGGACGGCCUUCGGGUUGUAAAACUCUGUGAUCCGGGACGAAAAGGCAGAGUGCGAAGAACAAACUGCAUUGACGGUACCGGAAAAGCAAGCCACGGCUAACUACGUG